AACCUGUUUGCCAUUAACUUUGAACUAUAAUCUUAACCAAUAAAAAUAAGUCAGUGGAACUUUAAUUUUCCGUAUUUUCUCUUGAUUUUUACAUGGUUUAAAUUAACCUCAGCUUUAAUAACAAUGAAUACAGUAGGGCACAGUCGACAGUGACAAUUUUCGGAUAAACUUCCUGGUUUUUGUCAAAGGGGCAGAACCUACUACAUGGUAGUUUCAAUGAUGAACUAUCAUGAUCUAGGGCUAAAAGAUGGAUGUGCCAAAUCCACCUCAUGAAAAACAGAUUGGGCAAAAGUGGAGUGCGAACACUAAAUGAUCUGCUGCUAAAUAGCAGUUAUUGCAGAUCUUUACAAGUGAAUUUGGCAAAUCCUGAUGCAACUUGAGCUUACCAGGUUUACUGACAGUUUGGACUCUGUGUGGAUGAAAAUAUGGACAAUAUAUUGUGUUCAUGUUGUGUUGUGAUUGACAUUUUUUAACAGAUAAGAUUUUUUAGUCCAGACAUAACAGGUGAUUUUUGUUCAAAGAAUAAAUACAAUACUUUUUUAUUGAUGUGCAUGAAUUUGAGUGCAAAAUAUCAACAAAGUGUAUCUUGUGUUGUUUUUCCAUUCAGUCUGUCAUCCAUAGGUAAUAUAUUAAGUAUGAGAAGGGAAUAUUAUUUUUUACAUUUUUGUUGUUUCUGCACACCAUGUCAAAUACAUGAAAAUAUAGUUGAUGCCCCCAACGGGCGGCAUAUAGUUUUCGCACUGCCCGUGUGUCAGUCUCUCUGUCCUCCGUAACACUUUUCGUGUUCACUCUCUAAUUCAAGUAGUUCUAAUCUGAUCUCCAAACUUGGUCAGAAGUUGCAUCCGGAUAAUGUCUAGGUCAAGACGAACAUGGGUCAUGCCGGGCCAAAAACUAUGUCAUAGGGUCACUAAGUGCGUUUCAAACAUUCAGCAUGGUGUCCGCUCUCUAAUUCAAGUUGUUUUCAUCCGAUCUUUCCCAAACUCUGUCAGAAGUUGUAUCCACAUAAUGUCUACGCCAAGUGUGAACAUGGGGCAUGCCGGGCAAAAAACUAGUUCACUGGGUCACUUAGUGCGUUUUGAACAUUCAGCUUGGUGUCCGCUCUCUAAUUCAAGUAGUUUUCAUCUGAUCUUCACCAAACUUGUUCACAAGUUUUAUCUAGAUGGCCUCUAGGC